CUAGUGAUUUUCUGAAAUAAAAUUAAUACAAACAAAUCAAACUCUCCACUCCAGCUUAAGUUUAAAUCAAAUCAAGCUAAUUAUUCAGUUCCUUCCGAUCACCAACGUCUCUCUAUACUAAAUUAUAGAAAUGGUAGUGAUAGAAAUAGAAUGACCAAGGAGCCAUUCCAUCAUCAACGUCUAUAAAUAAAUCGUAGAAUUUUUAAGAAUUAUUCCAAUUUCAUUUCCUCCAGCACAUAAACAAACCCUAACCCCAACCCCAACCCCAAUCUCCUCGUCAAUCGAAGAAGAAAGAUGUCUCACUUCGGCAGGUCAGGCCCUCCGGACAUCACCGACACCUAUUCUCUCCUCGUCCUGAACAUCACCUUCCGUACUACCGCUGACGAUUUGUUUCCACUUUUUGAUAAGUACGGCAAGGUCGUUGAUAUCUUCAUCCCAAGGGAUCGACGGACGGGUGAUUCACGGGGUUUUGCAUUUGUGAGAUACAAAUACGCAGAUGAGGCCCAGAAAGCAGUGGACAGGCUUGAUGGACGGGUUGUCGAUGGCCGAGAGAUAACUGUUCAAUUUGCAAAAUAUGGCCCAAAUGCAGAGAGGAUUCAUAAAGGAAGGAUUAGUGAAUCAUUUCCAAAAACACGAUACAGGUCAAGAAGUUUCAGUCCCAGAAGGAGGUAUCGGGAUGAUUAUAGAGAUAGGGACUAUAGGAGGAGAAGUCGCAGUACAAGCCUGGAUGGGUAUGAUCAUGACAGGUAUCGUGGGAGGGACAGAGAUUAUCGUCACAGAAGCAGAAGCCGGAGUGCCAGUCCUGACAACUUUAGAGGCCGAGGCAGAGGCCGAUAUGAUGAUGAUCGCCGAAGUGCUAGUCGAUCAGUUGACAGGGCAUCCCCUCGCCAUCGUAGCCCUAGUCCUCACAGGAGUGUUUCUCCUCGCAAGAUUUCUCCUAGGGGUGAGAGCCCAGGUAGACGCAGUUUGGAUGAACGAUCUCCAUCUCCUCGGUUUGUGCCACCACGAGGUCGUCGUGUUGAUUCUUGAAGUCCAUCCCCAAGAAAUUCGGAUGCUGAUGACUGAUUUUGGUGGCCUAUGUGGGACUUCAUGGAGACAACUUGAGUGAUUGACAUGAUUGAGGAUGCCAAUAUUCAGCAUUUAGUCAUCAUGCAAUUUCUGAUCUGAAUAUCUGUUUGAUGUUUUGUUCGGGAAGAGUGACUGGGGGGCUUUGAUGGACAGAAUGUUGGUAUGGCUAUUGUAGCAGUUGAUGCUGAUUGUAAAUCGUAGAUGGAUGAUCGAUGAUUGUGAUGCUGGUUAUGUCAAUUUGCUGAUUGCACGAACAAAAUAUGAUAAACUUAUUUUCUUUGAAUGAUCUGAUAAUGGUAUUGGCCAUGAAAGACAUAGUAGUUGCUGUGAUGAUAAAUAAAGGCGCAUACAAGUUGAACCUGUUUUAACCUGUGGCUGAUGCUGCAUAUGAGGCGGACUCUGUGAUGCUGUUUGUAAAUCCUAGAUGGAUGAUCGUUGAUUGUGAUGCUGGUUAUGUCAAUAUGCUGAUUGCAUGAACAAAAUAGGAUAAACUUAUUUUCUUUGAAUGAUCUGGUAAUUGUAUGUCCCUGAAAGACCUUGUUGCUGUGAUGAAAAUAAAGGGUGCACACAAGUGAACAUGCCUUACUCUGUGCUGAUGCUGCAUAUGAGACUGAUCUGUAGUAUGCUGGUCUGAAUUUGCAGCCACAAUAUGUGGACAGGGUAAAAUGUUCUAUUUGAAUUAUUUAUUUGGGGAAUUUCUAUGAAAUUUAAGGACGUUUAACCCUAGCCAUUGAAUUUUAUAACUUGAUGCUUAAUGUAGUGAGUUGUAGCUCAUUGGUUCGUGACUGUAGCUGUGAAGUGGUAGCUGAUUCUUGUUCUGUCUGUGAUAUACAUGAGGAUGUGGGUAACUGAGUUCUAACAAAUAACCACAUUUAGCGGGCUGUUGCUGUUCAUCUUACUGGAGUCAGGGUCUUAAUUGAUACUAGCAAUUGGUCACCUGGCUUGCUAGUUUGCAAUUCAAACGAUCUUUCGGUUACUUGCAUUCUACCAUUUGAAUUAUAUGGUGAUGCAUUGCUUUUUCUUUUCCAUCAAUCCAUCUCUUCCUAUUUAAUUUCAACAUUGAAAUUGAUUCUUUGAUCUUGAGUCAGCUGUCAUUUGUUUUGAAUAGUUUGUUCAUCUUAAAAAUCUAGGUUGUUGAUCAUUAUGGUGCUUGGCCAUUACCUUAAAAAGUUGCAUUUCUUGUUCUCUUAUAUGCCAAAGUUGUGGUGCCAUGUUGCAUUGAACAUCUUAGAUCUGGCAUUCUAAGUUUGGUAACCUGUGUUCAUAUUGCUGGGAAGAAUAAUAUCUUCCAAAAUUGCAUUUGAUGAAGAAUUUUCACCUAUAUGCAGUUUUGCUAUUGGAAUUUAUAUAUAUAUAUCAAGGCUGUGCUCAUGGAAUCUUUGCUUUUACUUUAGUGUCCUCUUGUCCAGUGUUCAGCGAUUAGCCCAUUGUAUUUUAUUUGAUUUCACAGGCAUGGCAAUUUAAAAUUUUUAACUUGUAAUAGGACCCAAAGUCUGGUAGAAUUUUUGUCAUGUAUGCAUGGUUAUCUUUUUGGUCCCAGUCUCCUUAAAAAUUACAAUGGUUUUUUUUCAUUUUAUACCAUGUUUUUUUCCCUUUUCAGAAAUGAGAUUGAAUGUAGAUGACAAUUUUGUGGCAAUGGAUUCUGAUAUUUAAUCUCCAGCUCUUUGCCUAAUACAUUUUGAUUAUCCAUAUGGUGUGGUUCUUUGCCUAAUAUAUUUUGAGGAUCUCCAGCUCUUUUGUCUUUUCAGAAAUGAGAUUGAAUGUAGGUGACAAUUUUGUGGUAAUGGAUUCUGAUAUUUAAUCUCCAGCUCUUUGCCUAAUAUAUUUUGACGAUCUGUAUGGAGUGGUUCUUUGCCUAAUAUAUUUUGAGGAUCUCCAGCUCUUUUUCCUUUUCAGAAAUGAGAUUGAAUGUAGAUGACAAUUUUGUGGUAAUGGGUUCUGAUAUUUAAUCUCCAGUUCUUUGCCUAAUAUAUUUUGACGAUCUAUAUGUUGUGGUUCUUUGCAACAAAUGUCAUUUCAUAAACUCGUAGGUGUCCUAAAUCUUGAAACUGUUCGAGGACUAUGGUCUCAAGCCAUAUGUUGCAUUGUCUUCGGAUUCUCGGACUUCCCAGUUUUGGAUAAAUUAGACCUGGUCUACCGUCAAUUUCUGUAACACUUUUGGGAAAUUCCUUGUGGCAAUUUCUCAUUUGUUGCUUGUGUGAUUUUAUAGAUGUAGGCGUUAUAUGUUGAAAUUUGGCAUGUUGGCAGUAUUUAUUUUGUUACAAGUACUUUCUGUAGAUAAAAUUUUGUCUUUCAGUCAUCCUUCACAAUGAGAGACAACAAACUUCUAGCCAGUUUGGGCGCAGUUCAAAUUUGUAAUGGCGAGAUUGAACUUGAAAAGUGAACAAUGAUGUUGGAGAAGAUGAGUUGCUAUUGUAGAAGAAGAGUUUUGGUGAAGUAUUGUUUGGGAGCUGUUGAACUCAAGUUUGGUUGUUGAGUUGGAGAACUAGUUCAAAUUUGGCUUGUUUGAGCAAAAUAUGGACUUGAACUCAGAGUCACUUCUGUGAACUUCACAACCCUAAACUUUAGUAAUUGAAUUGCUUGCAAUGCAGUCUCGAUGGGGUCUUGACGAUGGGGCACUGCAUGUGGAACUACAACAUCUGCAUGGUGAUGGAGUUGGCAAUUGAUCCGGCGGCAACAUUGGCGUUGAUGCAUGCAAAGAAAGUAGGUUCCUCCUUUGGGCGGGCUUCAACACCAGCAUUGGCUGGCUUUCGUAUUCAAAACAUUGUCUUCAAGCCAGAGGAGACAGUGUGCCAUGUCUUGUUACUGCAGAUCUAGUUUGAUUCGAGCAUGUCGAGUUGAUAAUUUUUUAGUUUGAGUUCAAGGAACGGUGAGCUUGAGUUUCGUUUGACAACUUGCAUUUAAAUCUUGAUAUUUAAAAAAUAUAUAUAUUUAAAUUUUAUAA